AAAGUGGUACGCGAGCUGGGUUUAGAACGUCGUGAGACAGUUCGGUCCCUAUCUGCCGUGGGCGUUGGAAGAUUGAGAGGGGUUGCUCCUAGUACGAGAGGACCGGAGUGAACGCACCGCUGGUGUACGGGUUGUGAUGCCAAUUGCAUUGCCCGGUAGCUAAGUGCGGAAGAGAUAACCGCUGAAAGCAUCUAAGCGGGAAACUUGCCUCGAGAUGAGUCUUCCCUGGGACUUUGAGUCCCCUGAAGGGCCGUUGAAGACGACGACGUAGAUAGGCUGGGUGUGUAAGCGUAGCGAUACGUUGAGCUGACCAGUACUAAUGACCCGAGAGGCUUAACCUUACAACACCGAAGGUGUUU
rnacentral:rRNA from 1 species